ACGAACGCUGGCGGCAUGCCUAACACAUGCAAGUCGAACGAAGGCUUCGGCCUUAGUGGCGCACGGGUGCGUAACGCGUGGGAAUCUGCCCUUAGGUUCGGAAUAACAGUUAGAAAUGACUGCUAAUACCGGAUGAUGACGUAAGUCCAAAGAUUUAUCGCCUGAGGAUGAGCCCGCGUAGGAUUAGCUAGUUGGUGUGGUAAAGGCGCACCAAGGCGACGAUCCUUAGCUGGUCUGAGAGGAUGAUCAGCCACACUGGGACUGAGACACGGCCCAGACUCCUACGGUAGGCAGCAGUGGGGAAUAUUGGACAAUGGGCGCAAGCCUGAUCCAGCAAUGCCGCGUGAGUGAUGAAGGCCUUAGGGUUGUAAAGCUCUUUUACCCGUGAUGAUAAUGACAGUAGCGGGAGAAUAAGCCCCGGCUAACUCCG
rnacentral:rRNA from 1 species